rnacentral:rRNA from 1 species
GUAGGUGGCAAGCGUUGUCCGGAAUUAUUGGGCGUAAAGCGCGCGCAGGCGGUCCUUUAAGUCUGAUGUGAAAGCCCACGGCUCAACCGUGGAGGGUCAUUGGAAACUGGGGGACUUGAGUACAGAAGAGGAAAGCGGAAUUCCAAGUGUAGCGGUGAAAUGCGUAGAGAUUUGGAGGAACACCAGUGGCGAAGGCGGCUUUCUGGUCUGUAACUGACGCUGAGGCGCGAAAGCGUGGGGAGCAAACAGGAUUAGAUACCCUGGUAGUCCACGCCGUAAACGAUGAGUGCUAAGUGUUAGGGGGUUUCCCGCCCCCUUAGUGCUGCAGCUAACGCAUUUAGCACUCCGCCUGGGGAGUACGGCCGCAAGGCUG